UACGUAGGUGGCAAGCGUUGUCCGGAUUUACUGGGUGUAAAGGGCGCGUAGGCGGAGAGACAAGUCAGAUGUGAAAUCUAUGGGCUUAACCCAUAAACUGCAUUUGAAACUAUCUCCCUUGAGUGAUGGAGAGGCAAGCGGAAUUCCUAGUGUAGCGGUGAAAUGCGUAGAUAUUAGGAGGAACACCAGUGGCGAAGGCGGCUUGCUGGACAUUAACUGACGCUGAGGCGCGAAAGCGUGGGGAGCAAACAGG
rnacentral:rRNA from 3 species